CUUCCGAGCCGCAUGGAAGGAGUUUUCGCUGAGGGCUCCCAUGCCAGCUGCUUAAAAAACCCCAGCUGGCAGCACGGGGGUCCCAGUGGUGGGUUAUAAUGUGAUGGCAGAAGGAGGUGGCCGCAGCCAUGUCCCCACAGCGCUGGCAGGUGUGGGGUGGCAGGAGCGGCUGUGCUGGAGAGGGGAAAGGGCGCUGUGUUGUAACCGCGGGGAGGGCCAGCGCUGGGACCGGCUCUGGCGCAGCCCAGUACCGCCACCGAGGAAGCAGGCGGCCGCCGGCGCUCGCCCGGCUGGGGAUGCGGGGACACGGAGGCGAAGGCUGGAGGGACAUGGUCCUCACUGGAGCUGCUGGAGGUGCACCAGGACUGUACACCCCCCGGACAGCAAGAGCCAGGCAAAGCCAGCGUGCCAGCACAAAGCCGGCAGCCCCCACGAGCAAACCAGCACCAUCCCCAGCUCCCACCACCCGGCGUGCAGGAGGGCUGGUUCCUGGGGCAUGGGGAAGUGCUGAGCCAGGCAUUGCUCCUUUGUGAAAAGGCACUGCACCGCUUUGCAGGGAGGUGCUCAUGGGGUGUGCAUGGCACUGGGCGUGCAGGAGGCUGGGGACGGGGCUGAGGCUGGGCUCUGCCAUGGUGCAGGGCAGGGAGGCAGCAAGAGGAGGCCUGCAGGCAGCCCUGCCCCGCGGUGCUGAGCCCCCUGUGGCUGUUCCCACACUUGGCCAGGGCUCAGGGCCCGCCUGGCCGGGGCUGGGAGCAGGGAUAACCUGGGCCGGUGGAGGCUGCUCCCAAACCUACCUCCUGGGUGACUCACGCCGUGACAUGGGCACCAAGUCUGGGGCACCGUCGGGCUCUCCCCUUUCUCUCCUCCCAGGAAACCCGGGGACGGCAGGUUGGGGUCCUGGCACAGGCGUUGGGCUCUUUGUGCCCCGGUUCCUGGCCAGGCACAGCCACCCCCGGGGGCCGGGGGGGGCCAGUGCCGGAUGCCGGGGGCCGCACCGGAGCCGCGCCAUCUGCUUCUCGUCAGGCUGCCGGGAGCACCGUGGCUGCCGGGGCCCGGCAGCGGGACGCUGCGGUGAUGGAUGGUCUGUUUAUCAUGGCUCAGCUCUGCUCAGGAUGUUAGUGCUUGCCUGCAAAAGAUAUUUCUGGGCUUGGCCGCUCCCUCCAUCCUCCCCCUCCUCCUGCUCCCCCUAGACCCUCUCCCUUGGGGCCGCAGUGAGGGAGCAGGGGGUGAGCAGGGGGUGAGUAGGGGGUGUCCCUCGUGCAGCCCCUGGCCUGCGUCUGAGCUCCCGGAGCUGGGGUGAAGCCUUCCUGCAGGUGCUGAUGGGGACAGGGAUGGAGACAGGGAUGGGAAAGACCGUGGGGCUUUCACAUGCUUCUCAUCCCCUGGUGCCUGAGCUGGGGUGGGACUGGCUCUGGGAGCAGCAUCCUGGGAUGGGAAGGGGCAGAGGUCAGGGAGAGAAGCACUGUGCUGGACCCCCCAUCCCCACACUGUCCUGGGGGUGUCCUGGCCCUGCUGAGGAGCAGUCCUGCAUCCUGGAACCAUCCCAGCAGCCACAUCCCUGUGCUUUGGGACCCCCAGCAGCGACACCCCAGUGCUGGAUCCAGGUCCUGGGUCCCUCAGAAGCACCCUUGGGAUGCACAGACACCAGUUUCCAGCCCUUCUCCCAGCACGGAAGUUUAUCUCAGCCCAUGCUGCAGCCUACCCGGCCAUGCCCUCCCACCUCACCAAGCCCCCAGCCCCUGUCCAUCCCUGCAGCCAUGAAGUCUGUCUGUCCAGCAGAGCAGCCACACAGCCGUGCCAUGGCACAACUUGCAGCGAGGCAGCGAGCGCGGCCACGGGCUCCUCCAUGUCUCCCAGCCCAAGGUGCAGUGCUGCAUCUCUGGUCAAUUGGGAGUCUGAGAUGAAGCACUGUAGCUCGGGAAGGGAGGAACUGUGCCCUGGGACCCCCGACACCCCCCGGACCACGGCCUGCCGCAAGGACCGAUGGAAGCAGAUGGAUGCGCAGCGGGAUGGGAGCACAGCUCGUGGCUGGGGGGCAGGCUCCGGAGGGGCUUCUCAGGGCAUAGGAUGGGAGCAGGACUGAUGGUAGGGGUCUGCCCCCUCCAUCCUGCCAGUCUCUAGGGCCAGGUUCCCACCACCAAGGGAGCGGGGAGUUCUUCCAGACAUGCUUUGGAUGCAGCCCCAUAGUCUCCUGGCUGGUAGGGGAGCAGAGGGGAGGGUGCCUGCGGGCAGCCAGCAUGUCUCCAGGAGACCCAGAAGGAUGCUGAGCCCCCAGAAGGAUGCUGAGCCCCAGCUAUGGGGAAGGGCUCAUCCCACAGCUCCACACCCCUGCAAGGGGAAGGGGAAGAGGAGGAGCCCACAAAAAGCACUGACGGUUCUGGAGGUUUCUCCUUUGGCUGAGGGACCCCCCCUGUGUCUGCUCAGGACCCCCAGCCCGGCACUGGGCACCAGCAGGGAGGUGGCACAGAAGGGUGGGGGGCCAUGCGUGGUGGAGGUGCUGCGGGGGGACAACGGGGAUGUGGCAGCUGCCGGAGGAGGGGACAUGCAGGGCAGGGACUGGGGGAGAGCUGCGGCCGCCGUGCUCUCAGGGUCCAGUUUUCCCAGGAAUCCCUUAGGCGUUCUGUUGGGGAUUCCUGGAAAUACUGUUCUUGGGGCCAUGGCUCUGCAUCAGGAGAUGGCCCGACCCCGAGGGGAGCCACGGCAUCUGGAGGAGCCAGGGACAAGGUAUGGGGUCAUGCCUGGGGGCUGGGAGUGGGGGUGGGAACCCAACAGAUGUGGGGCAGCACACAGCCCAGCCCAGGAAAUCCCAAUCCCCAAAGACCGGGGGAUGACGGAUGUCCCCUUGGGUCACAGCCCCCUGCGAGAGAACACCGCUGGUGGCCUUUCACCCUGCUUCUGCCCUUCGGUGCCCUCCUGGAGGGGUGGGUCUCAGCAGGCCCACGUGCAUGUCACCUCGCCACCCUUGCGCCAAUAAAGGUCUCAGCUCCAA